ACGCUCGACACCUACGGGAGCAGCAGUGGGGAAUAUUGCACAAUGGGGGAAACCCUGAUGCAGCGACGCCGCGUGAAGGAAGAAGUAUUUCGGUAUGUAAACUUCUAUCAGCAGGGAAGAAGAUGACGGUACCUGAGUAAGAAGCACCGGCUAAAUACGUGCCAGCACGCCGGACGGUAAUCUGAGGCGGCGUGGACGAAGGC
rnacentral:rRNA from 1 species